UACGUAGGGGGCAAGCGUUGUCCGGAUUUAUUGGGCGUAAAGAGCUCGUAGGCGGCUUGUCGCGUCGACUGUGAAAUCCCGCGGCUCAACUGCGGGUCUGCAGUCGAUACGGGCAGGCUAGAGUUCGGUAGGGGAGACUGGAAUUCCUGGUGUAGCGGUGAAAUGCGCAGAUAUCAGGAAGAACACCCGUGGCUAAGGCGGCUCUCUAGUACGGUACUGACGCUGAGACGCGAAAGCGUGGGGAGCGAACAGG
rnacentral:rRNA from 1 species